rnacentral:rRNA from 1 species
UACAGAGGUCUCAAGCGUUGUUCGGAUUCAUUGGGCGUAAAGGGCGUGUAGGCGGCCAGACAGGUCCGUUGUGAAAACUGGAGGCUCAACCUUCAGACGUCGACAGAAACCGUCUGGCUAGAGUCCGGAAGAGGAGAGUGGAAUUCCUGGUGUAGCGGUGAAAUGCGCAGAUAUCAGGAAGAACACCGAUGGCGAAGGCAGCUCUCUGGGACGGUACUGACGCUGAGACGCGAAAGCGUGGGGAGCGAACAGG